rnacentral:lncRNA from 1 species
GGGGGUCCGGAAGUGUUAGGAGCCUCGCGAAGGGUUGGUGUUCAUCUGCUUGCAGAGGAAAGCCAGGUCCAUACCCCUGAACUUCUCAAAUAUUUCCAAUGCUCAUCACUGGGUCUUUUGCAUGGUCAAAAGGGUUGCAGGUGAUUCUUCUGUGUUGUAAAGUUGAAGAGCAGCUUAAUCCACACUUCCUUUUUGGUCUCACUUCUCCCCUUUGUUCCGGUCAAACCCUGACUGCUUCAAAAGGAAAACUGAUAUUUAUCCUGAUUGCCUACUCACUAGAGUUCUGGACCUGUUUUCCAAAGAAUUCCACAGUGGGGGCCACCUUGUACUGGCAGUUGAAAAACAGGAAAUAGACAGAGAUCAUCCAUUUCCCCUGAGUUCACUGAAACACUCCAGUAAGAAGAUUGAAAAUAGCAGACCGGGGCCGAGCGCAGUGGCUCAUGCCUGUAAUCCCAGCACUUUGGGAGGCCGAGGCAGGCUGAUCAUCUGAGGUCAGGAGUUCGAGACCAGCCUGGCCAACAUGGUGAAAUCCUGUCUCUACUAAAAAUACAUAAAAAUAAAUAUAUGUCACUUG